UUUCCGUAGGUGAACCAGCGGAAGGAUCAUUAUCGUACAAAAUGUGAGGGGCAUGCGAGGGCUGUCGCUGACCCAAAAGUCGUGCACGCCCGAGUGUGUCCUCUUGCAUAAUAAUCCAUCUCACCCUUUGUGCAUCACCGCGUGGGCACCCUUCGGUAUCAUCUCGGGGGGGGGCUCGCGUUUUCACACAAACCCCCCUUUUAAAAGUGUGGAAUGACCACAUUUAUGCAAUCAAUACAACUUUCAACAACGGAUCUCUUGGCUCUC
rnacentral:misc_RNA from 1 species